GAUGAACGCUGGCGGCGUGCCUAAUACAUGCAAGUCGAGCGAACAGACGAGGAGCUUGCUCCUCUGACGUUAGCGGCGGACGGGUGAGUAACACGUGGAUAACCUACCUAUAAGACUGGGAUAACUUCGGGAAACCGGAGCUAAUACCGGAUAAUAUAUUGAACCGCAUGGUUCAAUAGUGAAAGACGGUUUUGCUGUCACUUAUAGAUGGAUCCGCGCCGCAUUAGCUGGUUGGUAAGGUAACGGCUUACCAAGGCGACGAUGCGUAGCCGACCUGUGAGGGUGAUCGGCCACACUGGAGCUGAGACGCGAUCCAGGCUCCUACGGGAGGCAGCGGUAGGUAAUCUUCCGCACUGGGCGAAAGCCUGCCGGAUCAACGCCGCGUUAGUGAUGAAGGUCUUCGGGUCGUAAAACUCUGUUAUUGGUGAAGAACAAAUGUGUAAGUAACUAUGCGCGUCUGGACGGUACCUAUUCAGAAGGCCCCGGCUAACUCCGU
rnacentral:rRNA from 1 species